AUUGAACGCUGGCGGCAGGCCUAACACCUGCAAGUCGAACGAGUGGCGGACGGGUGAGUAAUGUCUGGGAAACUGCCUGAUGGAGGGGGAUAACUACUGGAAACGGUAGCUCAUACCGCAUACCAUCAGAUGUGCCCAUAUGGGAUUAGCUAGUUGGUGGGGUAAAGGCGCACCAAGGCGACGAUCCCUAGCUGGUCUGAGAGGAUGACCAGCCACACUGGAACGGAGACACGGUCCAGACUCCUACGGGAGGCAGCAGUGGGGAAUAUUGCACAAUGGGCGCAAGCCGGAUGCAGGAAUGCCGCGUGUAUGAAGAAGGCCUUCGGGUUGUAAAGGACUUUCAGCGGGGAGGCGUUACCCGCAGAAGAAUCACCGGCUAACUCCGUGCCAGCCGCCGCGGUAAUUC
rnacentral:rRNA from 1 species